rnacentral:piRNA from 1 species
UUUGGGUGUUAACAUGAAAAU